ensembl:snRNA U6 U6 spliceosomal RNA
GCGCCCACUUUGGCAGCACGUGUGCUAAGAUUGGAACAAUACAGAGAAAGUUAGCAUGGCCCCUGCAUGCAGAUGCCACAUGCAGAUUCAAGAAGUGGUCCAAAUAUUC